AGGACAGGGAGUCUGUGUCGUUCUGGCUCAGUGCAGUAUUUGAUAAUAAAAAGCUCGAUUCCAGAGUCAUCCAACGGGAAAGCUACUACAGAACACCUCAGGAAGGGGCUUCCAAACAGCCCACCUCUCCUUCCACGAUUGGUUCCGUGGUAGGGAGUCCACAGGCGUGGUGGGUGUCUGGGGCACCCUGCCUCAUAGCAAUGUGGGUGUCUGCCAUGGGAGCUUCAAGUUCUUGAAGGCUCUGUGUGUGUGUUAGCCGCCAUCCCAAGCCUGACACUGGGCCGUCAGGACUGAUGCUGACAUCUACUCCCCAAUUCCAGGAAGGGGUGCUAUCCUCACCAGCAUCACCUCCACCACCUUCCUAUUUUACAGUUGAAAAACUGAGGCUUAGGAGACAAAAUGACUUGCAGAUAGGAACAAGAAGCCAGCAGUCCUGGGUGGGGACGCUGGAGGGAGCGCUGGGCAGCGCCAGACACCCCUAGACUGUUCCGGUGGCCUCGGCAGGGGGUGCGGAGUGGACCAACGUCGGGCUCCUGUCACCCGCAGCGGCGGCGGCAGCAGGGCGGCGCAGAGCAAGGCGUCGCACAAAGGGCCGCUGUCCCGCCGCCGCCCCGCCCCCCCCCCACGGGGUGGCCCGCCUCUUCCCCCCCCCCCCUUUUCGCCUCCUCAGCCUGGGUCCCCUCUCCCUCUUCCCUGUCCGGGUCUGGCUGCCCCUCGGGAUGAGGCCGGGUUAGGAGUACUCCUCUCGCCCUUCGCACUCUCUCCAGAGCUAGGAGAGCCAGAGCUUCGCGGGACAGAGACUGCCAACGCGGGGACCAGAGGAGCAUCACCAUGGACCCUUCUGCCCUUGACAUGGCCAUCCAGCAUGCCCUGGCAGGACUCUACCCGCCUUUCGAAGCCACUGCUCCCACUGUCCUGGGUCAAGUGUUCCGGCUCCUGGACUCCGACUUCCGGGGAGAUGGACUGAGCUUCCUCUUGGAUUUUCUCAUCCCUGCCAAGCGUCUGUGUGAGCAAGUGCGGGAAGCGGCUUGUGCCCUCUAUACCCACUGCCUCUUCCUGCAUGAGGGCUGGCCGUUGUGUCUGCGGGAUGAAGUUGUGGUACACCUGGCACCACUCAAUCCACUCCUGCUACGUCAGGGUGAUUUCUACCUUCAAGUAGAGUCCUGGGAGGAGCAGUCUGUCCACAUGACACUCAAGUGUCUCUCUUCAGACCUCCGUGAGGUGGACAAGAAGCCAAUUCCUGAGUCCUCCUACUCUCUCAUUUUCACCCCAGAAUGGUUGGAGGCCAUCAACAAUGACUUUGAGGGACGUCCCUUACACAACUGUCUCGUGGCUUCAGAAAAUGGGAUCACACCUGUGCCUUGGACCAAGAUUACCAGUCCAGAGUUUGUAGAUGACAGACCCCCAAUAGUGAAGGUCCCUUCCUCAGACGGGGACUCCUGUCCACUAGAAGACCUCCAUCUGAGCAGACCCCAGGAGCCAUACCAGGCUGGUGACUUGGGCGGCAAGGGAUCUGUGGCCCAGAUCUGGGAUAAGGGUAAAGGGAAGUUGUCUGGGGACAAGUAUCCAGGGCUCAUCAAGGUGGAGCCAGCAAGGUCAGGUCAGCUCGCCUUUAGGACAGACAGUGAGGCCAGCCAGAGCCUGGAGGGGGACUAUGUGGCUCUCCUGGGCUUUCCCCAAGAGUAUAGAGGGGCAUCCCCAGACAGUGAGGUAGUGACAUUAAGUGUAGAUAUUCAAAAAUCACAGGAGACAAGACCCAGAACUAAGGGGGCACCUCUGCUUGGAAAGACCCUUCCUCUCUCGGGGCCUGCUGGGGCACCUCCCUUGGGAAGAUGGGCAUGUGAAAGGCCAGCAGGCUCAGGGGAGAAGCCCUGUAGCGGAGGCUCAAGGAGAAAGGCCAGGCAUAAAGCAUCUGGCCACACUGCAGUGCGACAGCCACAGCAGCCCCAUACUAGUGUCCCGGAGAAGCUGCCGGACUGUACCUCUGGCCUGGUGGAAGACACUGAGGAAGAACCAGCAGCCUCUGAGAUGCAAAAGCCUGUGGGAAUGCCAGAAGCCAUGGUUCGGCUCAGGCCUGGGCCAAGACAAGCAUUCUCUCCCCUCCUGUCUUCAGCUGGCCCUGGAUCCCCAGCGGCUGAGACAAAGACAGAGGAGACCACACUAGGACAUGGGAGAGCUUCCAAGCCUGAGGACUGCCUCAAUAAGAACGCCUCCUUCCAUGGGUCCCCCGCUCCUGGGCUCCAGUUCUCCUUCUUGAAAGAACAGAGGGUACCCCAUGUGACCCCCGAGAAGGCCCUACUCCAGCAUGCCAGGCCUCGGAAGGCCCUGUGCCCCCUCUACUCUCUGCAGCCUUGUGAAGCCAAGGCCCCAGGCAAAGAUGGAACAACUCUCCCCACAACAUCUGGCUCAGGCCCACUGUCUGGGGAGCCGCCUGGCUUCCGGAGAGAUUCUGCAGGUCCUCCAGGGGGAGGACUUCGCCUGGAGGAGUGUUCUAGGACUAAGCCCAGGAUUGAGACCCUGGGAGUCAAGCUUCUCCAGUCCGGGAUAGCCUGCCUGCCAGGUGGUAGGGACAAGGUGGGGAGACCGCUGCUUCUGGUGUCAACCGCAGAGGAUGCCUGGGAGGCACCAUGGUGUACUACCUCAGAGGUCGCGGAGUUGCUGUCCUACUUAUGCAGUGUCCCUAGGCUGGAAGAUAAAGCCAAGGGGCUCCUGGUGGUGAUUGAUGCCAGGAAAGGGACCCAGAGGCCUGGUCUGGUCAGCGCCCUGCAGGGCAUCCAGGCUCUGGCUCCGGCCUCCGUCAGUAAAGUGCUCCUCCUCGGAGAGAAGGCGUCCAUUCCCCAGCUAUCUGUGCUACCUGCCCAGGUGGAGGUACUGACGUCGCUGAAGGCCCUCAGAAACCACGUGGACCCUAGCCAGCUGCCGGAGGCUCUGGAGGGCCCCUUUCCCUACCACCACAGCGAAAACUGGACCCAUUCCUCACUGACCUUCGCCAGGCCUCCUCCCUGCUGCAGGCUUCCAUCCAAGAGUUUGAGAAGGGUGAACCCCCUGGUGGGGUGCAGGAGGCUACCAGGUGCCUGAGCAAGUCCAAGGAGCUGAUGGAGACGGUGCUGAGGGACCCGGGCCUGCUGGCUCUCCAGAGGGAAGGUGGAACUACUCUGGCCAGCUUGCAGCAAGAGGCCAGCGGGCUAAAUGCUAACCCCGAUGUCAGGAGCCAUCUGACCGAGGCUGCUGCCCUGUACAACCUUGUGGAUGGUCAGCUUCAUGACUUGGUCACUGCGUCCAAUCAACUCCUCCGAAGGCUGGAGCUCCGCGUCCGCCUGGGCCACCUGGAGACUGCCAUCCACCAGGUCAGUGACUGGAUGGCGGGAGAAGGCAGCCAGAGUCUGCAGGCUCUCGCUCCUGUGCAUGUAUGUGCAGAGACAGUAGAGAAAGUCCACGCAGAGUUUGAGGAUUUCUUCCUGCAGGUUGCGGCCCAGUACCGCCAGGGCCUUGACCUGUCCAAGCAGGCGGCCCAGCUGGGAGCUGCAGAGGAAGGGGCAGGUGAGAUGGGGCUCCCAGACCUGGCGGCCUUCGCCUCCACCCAGCAGGCCUUCCAAGCCAGGCUGACACACUUCUACAUGGCCGCUGAGAGGCAGCGCACUGACCUGGAGACCCUGCUCCAUCUCCACCGUUUCAGAAGGAAGAUGUCCCGGUUCCACAUGGACUGCCAGAACCUGCUGACCCAGCUCAGCCUGGGCAAGGCUGUGAAGGCCAGCCCUGGGGACCAGUUGCACCUCCGACUCCACUGCUACCUGAAGCGCCUGGCUUCUGAGUUCCAGACGGAGAAACUCCUGGCCAUGAAGCUCCAGGUGGCCUCCCUGAGCCGGCCUGGCCUGGGCCAGGAGGUGUGGGAAGAGGCCCAGGAGCGGCACCAGGAGAUCCAGAGCUUGCUGAGGAAGGCACUAGCCUACUGCCCAUGCCCAGAGGUUCCAGCUACCCAAGUGGCACUCAUAGACCGAAGCAGGCCAGUGGCUAAGGGUCAGGGUCUGCCUAGAGAAGUGGGUUCCAAAUGGGACAGGUCUCUACAGGACUCUCUGGCUGUGGAUCAUGUGUUCAAAUCCCAGCGGACCCCUCAAGGGGAGCAGAGCAGAAACAUGUGGGCAGGCCUGCUAUCCCCAGAACCUGGCCAGUCUGGGGACACUGAGGAAGUCAGGGGCACCCCCAAGCUCCCCGAUCCCACCCUGGAGCGGCUCCUUGCCUCCCUCUUCUCCUGGCCCCACCUUCCCAAGCAGAGCAAGGCCUCCCGUCCAACUGGGGGAAGCUUUUCCUCAGAAGGGACAGGAUCACAGACAUCCCUGGAGGACUCACCCCACACAAGUCCUCCUGCGUCCCUCUAACUGGACCUGAACCACCACACCAGCUCUGGGGGGCUGUGACAGGAUUGACAGAGGGAUCUGCAGAGCCCAUGCCACCUCAUCAAACAUGGCCAUGGUGCAAUGUUAGGACCGCCUUCUGGCUCCAGAAAGCUCCAAGACAAUGGAUUGUUACCCACACUGAACAGUGCGUGUGGGAAUUAGAAUCCAGACUCAAUAAAAGGAGUUUUUUUUGUUUU